GGCAAUGCUUACUUGGGGACAAGCUCACCUCCACCUUGGGGCGGAUGUACCGGUGUUCGGAGCUCGGGUUUGGGAUUCCAGUGUCCUUGAAGUCUCCUGUAGCCCAGAGUGUCCUGGAACUCACUGUCUAGGCAAAGCUCAGCCCUCAGGUGGCUUGCUCCAUCACAGCACCCCCGAGGAACUGCACCCAGCAGCACUAAGAAGACUGAGGCCGGAAGAUCACAAUUUUGAAGGCAACUUGGACUCCAUAAUAAGAAAGACCUAUUUGCAAAAAAAU